rnacentral:rRNA from 1 species
UACGUAGGGGGCAAGCGUUGUCCGGAAUCAUUGGGCGUAAAGCGCGUGUAGGCGGCCCGAUAAGUCCGCUGUGAAAGUCCAGGGCUCAACCCUGGGAUGCCGGUGGAUACUGUCGGGCUCGAGUCCGGAAGAGGAGUGUGGAAUUCCUGGUGUAGCGGUGAAAUGCGCAGAUAUCAGGAGGAACACCAAUGGCGAAGGCAGCACUCUGGGACGUGACUGACGCUGAGACGCGAAAGCGUGGGUAGCGAACAGGG